CAAAAUACUUAGAUUCAAUAAACAUAAAAAACAACUUUUUUGCUUAGUUAUCCAUUUUGUUUAGUUUAUUGUACGAUUUGCAUGAUAUUUUUGAUUCUACUGGAAUGUUUAAAUUGAAUGUACUUAACAAAGCUUAUUUUAGUCUAUUGGUAAAGGAGUGAUGUGCAAGGGGAAAUGUGAUUGGCUCUUUGUCUUUGGACUGACGUCACUGGUGAAUACAGCGUGAGCGCGCAUUUUCUAAUGGCUGCUGAUCACUGUGAGUACGAUUUCAUACUUUUGUCUCAAACAGUCCACAUUGUUUUCCUUUAAUAAACAAAGUAUGUAACCGUUAGCAAGAAAACCACAUGUAAGAUUAAGCUGUGUCUGACGUUAGGAUCAUGUUAUUGUUCCGGUCAAUCGCAACCGCCAUUGCCACAUUUAUUAACAGUUCUAAGACGUGAAAAGUGCAAAGACGUGCGUAAUAGGAUCAUGAUAGAUCAUAUAUUAUGUAAAAAAAAGUUAAUGUAAGUUUUGCCUGUGUUAGCGUAUUCAUUUAUGCCACGUAUAACCGAUCACGGCCGCUGCAUUUCAUCUAUAUAAUUCGUUACAGUUACUGUACGUGGAAACAUGCUUUAUGAGGUCGUCACGUAUAAAGUUUAAUAUUGAUGCUGUAUUCGAUGAGUCAUCCGCGUUAUCUUUUGUGUAAACUGAUUAUUUUUUCAGUGGUGGUUAUGUGUCGUCAGAUGUUUAGCAUAACAUAACCUGAGCUGUUUUUAACAUUUUUUUUACUUUUUUUUUCUUGUAAGUGAAGUAUUAACUGACUAGAAUACAUUGAGAUUUGCCCCUUCGGAAAUACGAAUUCAUGUUAGUUGGCAGUUUUUAAAGAUAUGCAACCUCGUGCUCAUCAGUCUUAGCAAGUGAAUUUUCAGUUAAUUAGAAUGAAAGCUAAAUAAUUAACUGUAGCUCUCUAAUUCUUUUGAUUAACAAUAGCUGUUUGUGGGAAAUUUGGAGAUAACAGAUCAAAUUAUGUAAAUGUGUUUUGUCAGCUAGUAAUCUAAUGUAUAUUUUUGUAACUGUAGAUUGCAGAAAGAUCAAAGACAGGCCAACCAGGAUGAGAUGAAAAUGUGUAUCAAGAGUUCAACCAGAUAGUGUGGAAGAAUCUUAAGCAAGAAUUAUAUUGGUCUCUUGAUCAUCACUGCCCACAGCUGAUUCAGAUCUUCAGGUCAAAGAGAGGAUUCACUGGACAGAUUUUUAUCUUCUACAAAAUAACAAGGCGUCUGACCUCACUGACAUGCCAUGUGUUGCCAUUUGAGUGCUUCCAGUAGUUGUUGGUGAUGACCCAACAGUUCUUCAAAGCAUGUUUUGCUUCAGAUGAUGGAGACUCAAAUCAACAUGUGCUCGUUGGAAUUCUUAACCAAGAAAAUUAAGAUGUGGCUCUGCAACCCCUGUCCUUCCACCUCCACCCAUUCUCUGGGAAUCAUCUUGGAGGGAAAUGUUGUAAUGGACAAUAUAGACAAUAUUCCCCAGGCCAAGUGUCUUUUUGGAUCAACCUAUGCACUGCACCUAGGCUACACAAAAUGCAUGGACAAUACCCUUCUUUUUAUUCAACAAGUUUGGGUAAGAAGAUGCUGAAGGGUAAGAUUCUGGCUGUUAAAAAUCAACUUGUCAUGUAAACUGGUACAGAAAAGGCAUGUUCCUUCAGGCUUGCUGUCCUAACUGUGAGAUAAAAAAAAUUAAAACUAUGCUUUAGUGUUUGGCAAGUGUAAAUAUUCCAUAAUGUUAAAAUGUAAUAACAUCCUGUGGUUGUUUAUUUUUUGGAUAUGUUUGUAAAAAUGUAUUUAAAAAUUUUAAACAAGUGUUUUAAUAAGAUUUAUAACAAUAAAUAUUGACUAAUUGUUAUACAAGGCAUUUUCUAGUUUUGUCACUUGUUUCGGAGUGAUAUUUCUAAAUGAUUUUAAAUAAACUGUAAAGUAAAUUUUUA